GCUGCCGCCCUGCUUACUCACUGAACAACACGACAGACUGUGAACCGCUCUGGUUAUUAAUAAUUCACCACACUCCCGCGCUGCGCUGCGCUGCGCUUCACCGGCAAAGGCCACAGGACACCGCGCGUCCUUCUUACUGGUGCGUGCGUGCGUGUGCGCCCGCGCCGUAUCUCACCUCCAGCAUUUGUGUUUUUUACACACACACACACACACACACACACGGGGAGAGACGUGGAUUUCACCUUCUUGUUAUUGUGUCCUGCCUACAGGCUGCGCACAGUCCCCGGCGUGACAUUGCCCACUAAAGUCCCCGCGUGCACUCUCACCAACUGCGCGCUGCAGCGCCGCUCUGGUGUGUUUUGGUUCACUCGUCGUUCUUCUCUGCGACUUUGAGCGGACACUGAGGAGCAGGUGGUGGAGGAAGCAGCGAGGAGGAACUCCACACUUUUUUCCACGCGCAGCAGCAGCAGCAGCAGCAGGAGAAGCAGGAGAAGCAUGUACACGGAGGAACGCGCGCGGCGUCGUCGUCGUCUCUGAAGGAGCAACAGCUGAUUUGGUGCGAGCGCAGGAUAUACUCACUGUCGGCGCACAGCAGCAGCCUCACUCCUGCUCUGUCACUCGGGAUCAGACGGUGACUGUGUCGGUGGCGCAGAGCGCGCGGCCACUCCGUGGACUUUACAGCACCGGGGCAGAGUGGAAAGAGAGAGAGAGAGGGUGAGAGAGAGAGCGCGUGGCGGGGACGUCAUAAGUUGAACCCGAACAUAAACACUUUGCAUGAAGAAGCAGAAGAAUUGGAUUACACAGCUCCGUCCUCCGAGAAGAUCUGACUCCACAUUUCCAAAAUAAAAUGUUUACCGGACAUCAGGCCGCGUAUUAGUGCUGUUUUGCUUCCGGUAUAAGGCCCAGCUGAACAAGAACCCGAGCAGCGUUCUCUCUCUCUCUCUCCCACACACUUUUUUUUUUUUUUUGGAAGCCGAACUUUUCAGAGUGGAAAUGGGUCUUUGAGAGUGUUGGCACAUUUCCCCACACCACAAUGGCAACCGAAACCUUUCUCGUGAAUGAAGAACCCUCCCGAGGCCCUGGGAUGCCUGAAUGCUUUGUAGUAUCAGAUUCAUACAGGGUAUGCAUCAAUUAUUCUUAUUUCUUUUUAUUAUAAUUACUUCAUGUGUUGGUCCUAAAUGUGUUAUUUGAGUCAUUACUCAUUACUAUGACUGACAGUCUGUUUUCAUGCUCUCAGUAAUUGUACCACAAUCAUAAUGUCAUUCACAGCUCCCUCUACUCAGCUGCAAACCAUUACAAUCAUUAUUUCCACAGGCACAUUUAAG